ACUCUCCAGCCAUCGUUAUAUAUAGACCUCCACAUAAUUCUACCGCCUGUCCACAAUCUUACACAAUCAAAAGGGUUUCUUUCUCUACUUUCUCUUUCUAUAACAAACUCUGCGGCGGAUUGCGUCGCAGAGGGAAAAAAAAAAGAUUUAUAUAUAUAUAUACAGAGAGAGAGAGAGAGAGAGAGAGAGAGAGAAAUGGAGGUAACGAGGGCUUCAAUGGUGAUGGUUGCAAUGAUGACUCUCAUCUUCGCCAUCUUUUGUCCCGCUGCUCUGGCUCAUUCUGCAUCUCCGGCUCCCGCUCCCACCAGCGAUGGAACAGCGAUAGACCAAGGGAUAGCAUAUGCACUAAUGCUGUUGGCUUUGGUGCUGACAUACCUCAUUCACUAAACUCUUGAUGCCUCAUUCAUGAUCAGAGACACAGAGAGAGAACAUAAUUCAUGAAAAGCUUCCAGUCAAUGAGAAUAAUUCAUUUUAUUUGUUGUGGGUAGAGGAAUGAGAAUGAAUAUACACAUUUUUUAAAUUAGUAACUGGGGGGUGUAGGUAGGGGGUGGUGGACACAUUGAGGGGGGUGGAUUAAUUGUGGAGAUUUCAUUUGGAUAAUUUUCUGGUAAUGUUUCAUUUUUUUAGAUGAUCUCUCUAUGUCUCUGUCUAUCUGUCAUUAUAUACUUUCUGUAUUUCUUUUUCAUUUUUUUAUUUUUUUUUAAACUGAAGGAAAAAUAUACGGGUAAUCAUAUUACUUAAUGUGGAAAUGAUUUGGAUCAGAUGCUUGAAUUAUAA